GUUAUAAUUAGUUCAUAGUGAAAUGUAAAUGUGGAGGUAAGUUUUAUGGAAUGUGCAACAACAGUAGUUAUAAUUAGUUCAUAGUGAAAUGUAAAUAGUAUUAGUAUUGUUUUCAAACAGGUGGCAAGUACAUGUUAUAAUUAGUUCAUAGUGAAAUGUAAAUGGUCGUAAGAGAAACAUACCCGACACAGUUAAAUUAUGUUAUAAUUAGUUCAUAGUGAAAUGUAAAUAAUAUUUCGUAUUCUUCUACAUCUAAUUCAUUUAAGCGUUAUAAUUAGUUCAUAGUGAAAUGUAAAUGUAGAUGCUCUGCUUAUCAUAACAUCAGAAACUCUUUGUUAUAAUUAGUUC
rnacentral:sRNA from 1 species